rnacentral:rRNA from 1 species
UCUUGCCUACGGGAGGCAGCAGUGGGGGAUAUUGGACAAUGGGGGGAACCCUGAUCCAGCGACGCCGCGUGAGUGAAGAAGUAUUUCGGUAUGUAAAGCUCUGUCAGUAGGGAAGAAAGAAAUGACGGUACCUGACCAAGAAGCCCCGGCUAACUACGUGCCAGCAGCCGCGGUAAUACGUAGGGGGCAAGCGUUAUCCGGAAUUACUGGGUGUAAAGGGAGCGUAGACGGCUAAGUAAGUCUGGAGUGAAAGGCCGGGGCCCAACCCCGGGACUGCUCUGGAAACUAUUCAACUUGAG